rnacentral:rRNA from 1 species
GACGUAGGGCGCGAGCGUUGUCCGGAUUUAUUGGGCGUAAAGAGCUCGUAGGCGGUCUGUCGCGUCUGCUGUGAAAACUCGGGGCUUAACCCCGGGCCUGCAGUGGGUACGGGCAGACUAGAGUGCGGUAGGGGAGACUGGAAUUCCAGGUGUAGCGGUGAAAUGCGUAGAUAUCUGGAGGAACACCGGUGGCGAAGGCGGCAUCCUGGACCGAUACUGACGCUGAGGAGCGAAAGCCAGGGGAGCAAACGGG